GUGCCAGCAGCCGCGGUAAAACGUAGGACGCGAGCGUUAUCCGGAGUUACUGGGCGUAAAGGGCGGGCAGGCGGCCCGACAAGAUGGGUGUGAAAUCUCCCGGCUCAACCGGGAGGGGCCACUCGUGACUGUGGGGCUGGAGGGCGACAGAGGAGCGUGGAAUUCCGGGUGGAGUGGUGAAAUGCGUAGAGAUCCGGAGGAACACCAGAGGCGAAGGCGACGCUCUGGGUCGCGCCUGACGCUGAACCGCGAAAGCCAGGGUAGCGAACGGGAUUAGAUACCCCCGUAGUCC
rnacentral:rRNA from 1 species